UCAAUUGGUAAGGUNCUUGCCUAGCAUGC
rnacentral:piRNA from 1 species